rnacentral:rRNA from 1 species
UAAGCGGAGGAAAAGAAACUAACAAGGAUUCCCCUAGUAACUGCGAGUGAAGCGGGAAAAGCUCAAAUUUAAAAUCUGGUGGUCUUUGGCCAUCCGAGUUGUAAUCUAGAGAAGCGUCUUCCGCGCUGGACCGUGCACAAGUCUCCUGGAACGGAGCGUCGUAGAGGGUGAGAAUCCCGUCUUUGGCAUGGACACACCAGGGCUUUUGUGAUGCGCUCUCGAAGAGUCGAGUUGUUUGGGAAUGCAGCUCAAAAUGGGUGGUGAACUCCAUCUAAAGCUAAAUAUUGGCGAGAGACCGAUAGCGAACAAGUACCGUGAGGGAAAGAUGAAAAGCACUUUGGAAAGAGAGUGAAACAGUACGUGAAAUUGUUGAAAGGGAAACGCUUGAAGUCAGUCGCGUCGACCGAGACUCAGCCUCGCCUCGGCUUGGUGUACUUCUCGGCCCGACGGGUCAGCAUCGAUUUCGCCUCUUGGAUAAUGGCGAGGGAAACGUGACACCUUUACGGUGUGUUAUAGUCUCUCGUCGCAUGCAAGGGUCGGGAUUGAGGAACUCAGCACGCGCCUUUGGGCGUCGGGGCUUUGCCUACGAUACGUGCUUAGGAUGUUGGCGUAAUGGCUUUAAACGACC